rnacentral:misc_RNA from 1 species
CCUUCCGUCCAUUUGCUCCCUUCUCCUCCUCCUUUUACUUUCCCCUUGUGCUGUUCUCAUACACUAGGCAUAUUUUAAAAAUAUUUACACCCCUGACUUACUUGGUCAGUAAGAGUUACAAUGGUAGUACUAAGAGGGAAAGAAAGUAAAGUCCCGAUUCGAUAAAAAACCUGAUUUUUCAUGAGACAACAUCCCCAGUUUCAGCGUUUAGUAGAUAGCGAAUGGGAUGGUUGAAAGUUGAGGGUAAUUGUUUGCUAAACAUGAUCGCUAAAAGGAGCACGGUAUGCGUGUUUCCACAAUUCAUGAAGUUCCCCUGACUGUAGCGGUUUCCCUUGUUUUUACCAAUAUCUAUUUCUGGUAACUAUGAUUUCGCAAAAAUGAUUUCACAAG